UCCAGGCUGUCCAGCUUUCCCUAAGGCAAUCACAAGGGAGGAGGGCGGACAAGGACAAGGUCUCAGCUCUCCUCCCUAUCAGCAGGUGGCGCUGUCAGCCUGAGGGAACCUUAUCUGGGGGCCUGCUAAGUCCUCAGUGGAGUUUGUGUUUCCCUAUAGCCCAACAGCUUCACCUGCUCCAGACUGACACACACCUCAUACGGCUGUGCACUCAGCAGCCACCACAGAGGCACUGCCAUCAAACAACUUGCCCCUGACAUGAGAGAACCCAGGGUGGAGUUUAGCUCUCUUUUCUUGGGUCGGGAGGGUGGCCACUCUCCCUGGACAGCUCUGUGGAGGUUACAUGCAUAUUCAAGGACCCUGGAGGAAGGCGAUGUGCCUGUCUCUUGCAGAAGCCACCACGGCAACCAAAAGAAGAAUCCAGGUAUCUGGGUCAGAGGCUGUGGGAUGUCAGGAGACAGAUGGCCUGAGAAGAGAGUCUGAACCAGGGGUUCAGCACCAAACCAGGAAAGAGCCCCUGAGCUGCUGGACCAGUGCUGGGGAGAGACAUUUGGGGGAAGCCUGAAUAGGGCAGUUGUCACUCAGGGAUGAGAAGAUCCUGUACUAAGACUCAGGGCAUGAAGACAGCCAGCCACAGGCCAGACCUCAGAGAAAUCCGUAGUCCUACCCAAGCUGUCUCUGGUGAGGCAGACUUUCAGCAGCUUCUGGCCACUGGGCUGAGGAAACUCGGAGACUAUAAUAAUGGUAUUACAGAAGGAAUAAGCAUUUCAAGAUGUUCCUGCCUCUACCUCUCAAGUGCUGGGAUUAGAGGAGUAAGCCAUUUUAUCCAGUUUACAGCACAGUGGUUGAAUACCAAGUGUUGUGCGCACAAGCAUGCUAAGCAACAGAGCUACCAGCCCAGGCCAUGUACUGUUCCUUGUGCAAUCGUAAUGCUGGAAUGUUGUCAAACCACAGAGAGCUGAGGACCACUCGCAUCUCCCGACACUGACAUCUGGAUGCUUGAAACCAUCAUAGGCUCUUUCUGGAAAGGUCAAAUAUGAAAAUUCAUUUAUGAAACAAGGCUCACUGUGAGAUCAGCAAGAGGUCCAGAUCUGAGAUCAGACCCGCCUAGCUGUGGAACACUUGGUGGUGGACAUUGGACAGAGGCAGCAGCUGCCCUGGGAGUCUGACUCCCUCAGAGUCUCUGGUGGGGUCCCAGUCAAACAGUGUCAUGUGCCCAUAACCAGGAACUUCACACUUCAGACCCAGAGUGCCUUGAAUCUAUUUUUAAAGGCGUCAGAAAUGAGGUUCUAAAGUGAAACCUCCUGACUUGCAAAUGCUAGCGACCAAUCGCUUCUUUCCAAAACCUGUUUUGAAUAAACCGGACUCGCCUGCAGGCCACGUUGGGGCUCAUCUGGUCAAGCCCAGUCUACUCCCAAAGGACCUGUUUGGUUUGGCAGGGAGUUCUUUCUGGAACCUACCUUCCCCUCAAGGCAUUCGCAGAGAGCUACCCCGUUCUGAGACGACAAAGCCCCAGGGCCCAUCCAAGCGAGCCUAAAGAGCCAGCCCACCUCCGUCAUAGAUUUAAAGGCCACUCUGUAGUAAAGAGAAACCGGGCUUUAUUCCUGUUUACGGUUAAAUCUGUUUCUCAAGAAUUGGGUUAUGCCCCAACUGUAAAUUUAACUACAAAUGACUCUGUACUGCCUGUUCCAGGAAAUGGCAACCGUGUCUUUGUUUCAAAGAGAUAUUUAUAACUAUCUUGCAACCCUAAAGGUUAAAUGACCCCCUAUCACGACCUUAUUAUGACUAUCUGUUGUGAUAGCCUUGUUGUGACUAUUGUGUUCUGCUCCUGUAACCCUGCAAAAAAAAAACAAAAAAAAAAAACAAACAAAAAAAAAAACAACAACAACAACCUACCCCUGAGGAUAAUGGCUAAUUAAAAAGGUGCACAGAAGGGACUGGGAGAUGGCUCAGCGGUUAAGAGCACUGACUGCUCUUCCAGAAGUCCUGAGUUCAAAUCCCAGCAACCACAUGGUAGCUCACAACCAUCUGUAAUGGGAUCCGAUGCCCUCUUCUGGUGUGUCUGAAGACAGUGACAGUGUACUUAUAUAUAAUAAAUAAAUCUUAAAAAAAAAAAAA